GACGUACCACCCGAACGUUUUUCGGAUUCACUGGGCUUACAGAGUCCGUUGGCGGUCAAGAAAGUUAGGCGUGAAAUCCCUCAGCUCAACUGAGGAAUAGCGCUUAAAACUACUUGGCUAGAGAGAGUCAGAGGUGAGCGGAACUGAUGGUGGAGCGGUGAAAUGCGUUGAUAUCAUCAGGAACACCGGUGGCGAAAGCGGCUCACUGGGGCUUUUCUGACGCUGAGGGACGAAAGCUAGGGGAGCGAACGGG
rnacentral:rRNA from 1 species